rnacentral:rRNA from 1 species
UUUGAAAUCUCCGACGCUUGCGUCGGCGAGUUGUAGUUGCGAGAAGCACUUUCUAGGCGGAUCGGUGGUGCCUAAGUUGCUUGGAACAGUACGUCAUAGAGGGUGACAACCCCGUCUGUGGCACGACCGGCCGCUCACGAUGUGCUUUCGAAGAGUCGGGUUGUUUGGGAAUGCAGCCCAAAAAUGGUGGUAAACUCCAUCUAAAGCUAAAUAUUGACGUGAGACCGAUAGCGAACAAGUACCGUGAGGGAAAGAUGAAAAGAACUUUGAAAAGAGAGUUAAAAAGUACGUGAAACCGUCUGAAGGGAAACGAAUGGACUCAGCAAUGCGUCCUCCGAGAUUCAGCCGAUCGACGGUGGCGGCCCGGGGCUUGCGGAUCUGAAUGGACCGCGGUCUUGGGCCCGUUGCUCUCGAUCGUCGCACUUCUCUCGGACGCGAGUCAACGUCUGUUAGGACUGGGUCUCAAAGGUUCUGGGAAGGUGCGUCCGUCAAGGACUGUUAUAGCCCGGUUCUCUUUCGGCUCGGGCCUGACAGAGGCUGUUGCAGCGCAUGCCUCUUUUGGCUAGGGUCCCGUCCUUCCGGCUGGUCGUCGACGGCGGUGGACUGCUUGCAGUGCUCUGCUAACGCUGCCGGUCGUUGGAGCGGUGAUCUCGUACCAUG